rnacentral:lncRNA from 1 species
UCCUCACUGCGCCCCUCAUCCCCACUCCCCCGGCCCUGCAGGGUGCCCCGUGGUGCUGACCAUGGCAUUGCCUGGACCCAUCAACUGGUAAAACACACGAGCCUUAGCAGAGAUACGAUUUCAUUCCUCACCAGAGGCCCUUGAGAUUUUAGGAUUCUAUCAACGCUAGUAAAGGAACUACUUGAACACGUUGCUUUGUACUGCUUUCCCUGACUGUAAAACAUUAAAGAAAUUCCAUAAGGAUGAAGAUAUUUUUCCGUU